ACAAUUGUUGACUCUUCCUCUUAGAUUGGUUCUCUCUUUAGGGUCCAUCACAUGAACUCUGCUGCCUCCACCCAAACAGCCCCACGGUUAUGAGGCUCCCAUUUAAAAUUCCAGACCAAGAAUGGGAAACCUCCAUUUUCUUGGUUUUCCAAGUGGCAAUCCACUCUAGUAUUCUCACCUGGGAAAUCCCAUGGACAGAGGAGCCUGGCAAGCUACAGUCCAUGGGGUCACAAAGAUUCAAACAUGACUUGAGCAAAUAACAACAAUAGAGCUGGAGAGCUCUUUAAAAAAUAAUCCAGAUUAACGCGCCUCUAUCUACAAGUGACAGAUUUGAGGAGGCUCCAGUAAAGAACAUGGAAUCAACAAGCCAUCACCAACCAGAAGAAUUUGGGAAAGGUCAAAAGGAGACACAAGUCUGUAUGGCCUACCAACCUCCUAGAAUCCUCCUCACUGGAAUCCAUCUUGACUGAGAAAUAUAUGUGCUACCAGGAAGGACCCUGAGUCAGAAUGAUUGGCCAGAGACAACCCAGAAACUAAUCCCAUCACCAUUAAAUCUGAGAUUCCGAGUGAUGUGGCAGAGCAGUUCUCCUGGUUUCCUUACUGUUGCUCUCAGUCCAGGAGCCCCUAACCAAUAAAGUUUCUUGCUUUGUCAAUACAUGUGUUUCCUCAGACAAUUUUUUUUGCAAGUGUUAGAUGAGAGCCCACCCUGUGGCCCUUCC